rnacentral:rRNA from 1 species
GAUGAACGCUAGCGGCAGGCCUUAUACAUGCAAGUCGAACGGUGUCUUCGGACAUAGUGGCGCACGGGUGCGUAACACGUAUGCAACCUACCUUACAUUGGGGGAUAGCCUUUCGAAAGGGAGAUUAAUACCGCAUAAGACAGUAGCUGGGCAUCCAGCAGCUGUUAAAGAUUUAUCGAUGUAAGCUGGGCAUGCGUCCAAUUAGCUAGUUGGUGAGGUAACGGCUCACCAAGGCAAUGAUUGGUAGGGGAGCUGAGAGGUCAAUCCUCCACACUGGCACUGAGAGACGGGCCAGACUCCUACGGGAGGCAGCAGUAGGGAAUAUUGGGCAAUGGACGCAAGUCUGACCCAGCCAUGCCGCGUGCAGGAUGAAGGCGUUAUGCGUUGUAAACUGCUUUUAUACAGGAAGAAACGACUCUUGCGAGAGGCAUUGACGGUACUGUAUGAAUAAGCACCGGCUAACUCCGUGCCAGCCGCCGCGGUAACAC